rnacentral:rRNA from 1 species
CUACGGGCGGCUCCAGUGGGGAAUAUUGCACAAUGGACGAAAGUCUGAUGCAGCCAUACCGCGUGUGUGAAGAAGGCCUUCGGGUUGUAAAGCACUUUCAAUUGUGAGGAAGGUAGUGUAGUUAAUACCUGCAUUAUUUGACGUUAACUUUAGAAGAAGCACCGGCUAACUCUGUGCCAGCAGCCGCGGUAAUACAGAGGGUGCAAGCGUUAUUCGGAAUUACUGGGCGUAAAGCGCGCGUAGGCGGAUUAGUAAGUCAGUUGUGAAAGCCCUGGGCUCAACCUAGGAACUGCAUCUGAUACUGCUAGUCUAGAAUCUAGGAGAGGGAAGGGGAAUUCCAGGUGUAGCGGUGAAAUGCGUAGAUAUCUGGAGGAACAUCAGUGGCGAAGGCGCCUUCCUGGACUAAGAUUGACGCUGAGGUGCGAAAGCGUGGGUAGCGAACAGGAUUAGAUACCCCAGUAGUC